UUCGAUGCCGUGAAAAUAGCCUUUGGACCCGUUUUCGGCCAAGAAAACGUGUGCUAUAGGUCACGGGAGCCCGAAAACGACCACACUGGCAACAAGUGUCAAAAACGUGGGGGAUGGUCCGAAGCCGUGAAAAUGGCCUACGGACCCAUUUUUCGCCAAGAAAACGUGUGCUACAGGUCACGGGAGCCCGAAAACGACCACACCGGCCACCGGGGUCGAAAACAUGGGAGAUAGUAUGAAGCCGUGAAAAUGGCCUCCGGACCCGUUUUC
rnacentral:lncRNA from 1 species